CGCACGGGUGAGUAACACGUAUCCAACCUGCCGUCUACUCUUGGACAGCCUUCUGAAAGGAAGAUUAAUACAAGAUGGCAUCAUGAGUCCGCAUGUUCUCAUGAUUAAAGGUAUUCCGGUAGACGAUGGGGAUGCGUUCCAUUAGAUAGUAGGCGGGGUAACGGCCCACCUAGUCUUCGAUGGAUAGGGGUUCUGAGAGGAAGGUCCCCCACAUUGGAACUGAGACACGGUCCAA
rnacentral:rRNA from 1 species